CGGCCGAUUAGGUAGUUGGUUAGGUAAUGGCUUACCAAGCCGUUGAUCGGUACGGGUUGUGAGAGCAAGAGCCCGGAGAUGGAACCUGAGACAAGGUUCCAGGCCCUACGGGGUGCAGCAGGCGCGAAACCUCCGCAAUGUGAGAAAUCGCGACGGGGGGAUCCCAAGUGCCAUUCUUAACGGGAUGGCUUUUCAUUAGUGUAAAGAGCUUUUGGAAUAAGAGCUGGGCAAGACCGGUGCCAGCCGCCGCGGUAACACCGGCAGCUCUAGUGGUAACAAUUUUUAUUGGGCCUAAAGCGUCCGUAGCCGGUUUAAUAAGUCUCUGGUGAAAUCCUGUAGCUUAACUGUGGGAAUUGCUGGAGAUACUAUUAGACUUGAGACCGGGAGAGGUUAGAGGUACUCCCAGGGUAGAGGUGAAAUUCUGUAAUCCUGGGAGGACCGCCUGUUGCGAAGGCGUCUAACUGGAACGGUUCUGACGGUGAGGGACGAAAGUUAGGGGCGCGAACCGGAUUAGAUACCCGGGUAGUCCUAACUGUAAACGAUGCGGACUUGGUGUUGGGGGUGGCUUUGAGCUGCUCCAGUGCCGAAAGGGAAGCUGUUAAGUCCGCCGCCUGGGAAGUACGGUCGCAAGACUGAAACUUAA
rnacentral:rRNA from 1 species